AUUUGUUUUCGAUGUGGAGGUAGAUCUACUUUUUCGACAGAACUAACAAAACAAAAGUGUAAACUGAUGAAUCAAUCAUAGUUGCCAAGGCUCAAACUUAUAAAUGACUUGGAAUGGCGCCCCACUUCCUGGAAUACUAACGUAAUCAUCCGGAACCAAAUAGUCUUUUCCAGGACUCUUAAGCCACAAACGGUCAUUCUCAGGACCCCAGAAGUAACAUAAAGAGCUUAUUUAAAACACUGUCUUAAAUCGUUGGCCUUGAAUACAAAAGCAAUCUUUAGAAACCAAAUGGUCCUUUUCAACAUUACAAAAUCUUAAACGAUCAAAUGGUAUCAAAUCAAUCAGUAUCUGUACACAUCUCGAAUGCAUGCACCCAACAUAGAUUGCCUUGCCAUUCGUAAGAAAACGGAAACCAAUUAAGAUCUCGAGUAGACUGGUAAAGAGUUUGUUUGGUCAUCAACUAACAAAACCUGAAUGCUAGCAGAGUUUACCCUGUACGAGAUAAUGUUAGCACCAUCGUCAAAUAAGUUCGACAGAUGUACCAUAACGAAGCGACAGAAUAUUCGUGAUAUGUCUCACGCAUAAAUGUCACAAAAAACAUUUCAAUCGCCGUGAAAGAAUCUCAUUGGACCGUGGAACGAAAGGAAUGAUCACAUGUCGGCCAAGGUCAGGCCUCGAGGUUUAUCGUUGGCAUCAAAGGAAGAGUUCAGACGAACCCAGUGCGUUCAAUGAGGAAAAUGGCGGAGGAAAACGUAAUCAGCGACUUUACGGUAUGGAAAAUAGCGAAGGAAGAUUGUGGGCGAAGUCGAGGACACGGAAAAAUAUUACAUGAUUACCAACCGCAUCCUGGAGCUACGAGUCGAACAAUGUAAGAAAAUAUCGAAAUUCUUCAAACCAAAAAUUCACGUAACCUAGUUCACCGACAAGAAUAUGUUUACCGUUAAUCCCUUAUCUAAUACCAGAACCUACCGCUAUAUUAUACCGUAUUUCGUACCACGUGUUCGUUUUACUCGGAGUCAGAGUAGCCCGCGUCUAGGUUCAAAAACGAAAACGGUAUUAGUUUUCUCCCGGUAAAGUUUGAUCCGAAGCCAAAUGUUGUAUUUCAACAAAAUGGGACUCCGUGCCACACCGUGAAUCGCACUCAGAAAUAAUUACAGGAACAUUUUCCGUUCUGGAUGAAAGAUAUAUAGCCACCAUCCAGCUCAGAUCCUCAUCUGCUGGAUUACUAAGGCGUGUCAGGAUGACCGAGGCCUGUUCUAAAAGCCACCCGUAUACAGCAAGCCUCACAAAAACAUCGACCCGUAUCUGGAAUGAAAUAACUGCAGCAAGUGGAAACUAUCUAAAUGUUCAAGACUCAGAGAAUCAUUCCCCAGUUGAAUAAAUAAUGAAAAUCGACAAAAAAACUGGAUAUGAAGAGGAAGUUAUAAUACUUUAUAUAAAUUUCCAGAAUAUAUGAACCAGCUUUGUGUGACAAAGUAUAGACCAUAAUUCUGAAUAUUUCUGGAUAACGAAUGGAUCGAAGCUUUUGGUAGUUUUGAUAAACUACUUGGAACUUGUAUGCUAAAUAGACGCACACGCCUUAGGCGACUUUGUAUGUAUAAAAAAGUGAAAUUUAGAUGAAACUUUUUUUUCAAUGGACAAUUGUA